rnacentral:lncRNA from 1 species
AAUUAAUCGCAGACCUAUGUCUAUAGACGGAUUAGCAUAUCUCAUAGCCCAUUUUCCAAUCGAUAUCCAAACAUAUAAGAAAAAGAAAGGUAUUGAGCUUGAAAGUGAGAUUUCAAUUUAUUUCAACAAAAGUAUAGUUUUAUAGAUGCGUACCUAAAUCUGAAAGCAACAAAGGGAUUGAACCCAAUAAGAGUCGGAUAAGCACAAAUAGAGCUCAGCGACAAGAAACAAUAGCAUAAACAGCGACGAGCUCGAUAAAACAACAGGAAAUUUUGGUAUGGAAAUAGAAUAGAGAGCAACAGUGAUACAGGAGCUCAAAAAGGACGUGAAUCAGCAGCAACUGGGAGUAACAACAGCAAAAAAUCACGAAUUCAUUCUCAAAACAAACCCGACUCGAUCGUGAAACUACCCAUAUGACCUCGACUUUAAAUACAGCAUAAGAAUACAAUUUUUGUUGAACAAAUAUCUUCAAUAUUAUUAGAAGCUCCACUGAAGCUUUACAAUUUCACAAAUGGCGAAUCAAAAAGAAACAGGGCGUGAAACAAUGAUCACAACUGGAAAAUCUUAGAAAGCCCACAGUGAUUCUCAAGGCGUUCGAAGUGGGUUUACAUGGAGCUCAAAUGGCUAUUUUAGGUAAUUUUCAGAUGUUCUACAGGUGAUUUUGGAGUGAUUGGUUUUCCGGUGAGGGGUCGUUUGGGUUGAAGAGGCGGAACGCUGGAGAUCCUUCCUUCUGGGGUCUCCUCUGCGCAGCUCCUCCAGAUUUCAAGGCGUCCUCCUCUGUAUAUUCGUGUAUGUAUAAUCUGUAUAGGCGUGUGUUUUUUGUGAAGAAGCAGCCCCAGCUGCGCAGCCUUACCCCAAUUUCCAGGCCUUUCUUCUUGCUUUGUAUAUUAUCUUGUGUAUAUUUUUGUGUGUAUUAGGUAUUUUAGGUUAGGGUUGAUUUGGGUAUUGGAUUGCGUUGGGUCGACCCGAUAUGGGGUUGAGUAGGGGCUAAUUUGGGUUGGGUUUUAAUUGAAGAAUGGG